rnacentral:rRNA from 1 species
AUUGAACGCUGGCGGCAGGCCUAACACAUGCAAGUCGAGCGCGAAAGGCCUUCGGGCUGAGUAGAGCGGCGGACGGGUGAGUAACGCGUAGGAAUCUACCCGGUAGUGGGGGACAACUUGGGGAAACUCAAGCUAAUACCGCAUACGCCCUAAGGGGGAAAGCGGGGGACCUUCGGGCCUCGCGCUAUCGGAUGAGCCUGCGUAGGAUUAGCUAGUUGGUGGGGUAACGGCUCACCAAGGCGACGAUCCUUAGCUGGUCUGAGAGGAUGAUCAGACACACUGGGACUGAGAAACGGCCCAGACUCCUACGGGAGGCAGCAGUGGGGAAUAUUGAGCAAUGGGGGCAACCCUGACGCAGCCAUGCCGCGUGUGUGAAGAAGGCCUUCGGGUUGUAAAGCACUUUCAAUGGGGAAGAAAAGCGUACUGUUAAUAGCGGUGCGCCGUGACGUUACCCAUAGAAGAAGCACCGGCUAACUCCGUGCCAGCCGCCGCCGUAACAC